CGACCGCUGGCGGCGUGCCUAAUACAUGCAAGUAGACCGCUGAAGGAGGAGCUUGCUCUUCUGGAUGAGUUGCGAACGGGUGAGUAACGCGUAGGUAACCUGCCUGGUAGCGGGGGAUAACUAUUGGAAACGAUAGCUAAUACCGCAUAACAGUAGAUGUUGCAUGACAUUUACUUAAAAGGUGCAAUUGCAUCACUACCAGAUGGACCUGCGUUGUAUUAGCUAGUUGGUGGGGUAACGGCUCACCAAGGCGACGAUACAUAGCCGACCUGAGAGGGUGAUCGGCCACACUGGGACUGAGACACGGCCCAGACUCCUACGGGAGGCAGCAGUAGGGAAUCUUCGGCAAUGGACGGAAGUCUGACCGAGCAACGCCGCGUGAGUGAAGAAGGUUUUCGGAUCGUAAAGCUCUGUUGUAAGAGAAGAACGAGUGUGAGAGUGGAAAGUUCACACUGUGACGGUAUCUUACCAGAAAGGGACGGCUAACUACGUG
rnacentral:rRNA from 1 species